rnacentral:lncRNA from 1 species
GUGCUCUUAACCACUGAGCCAUCUCACCAGCCCCCUGAUUCUGUCUUAUAAAACUAAAUAAAUAAAAAAGAAAUUUCUAUUUAUUAAUGAUAAUAAAUGGAUAAUGUUUUGUUUCGUGAUUUUCUUAAAAGUCAAACAAGGAAACUAGGGUUGUAGCUCAUUCAGAGGCAGAGCUCAUAAGGGCCUGGGUUGUAUCUUCAGUAGGAGGUUGGGGGCUUGCAAGUAAGUGUGUGUGUGUGUGUAAGAGAGAAACUGCUGCAGUAUUUAAUGAAAAAAAUCACAAUCUAAUCUAUUAUUUAACUCUUACUUUCUAAAAGCAACCUUUUCUAAGUAUUUAGUGUAUUAUAUUUAGUCUCCUUUUUGUUUUUGACACAAUCUCCAUGUUUCUCAGACUAGUCUCAAGCUCCUAGGUUCAAUAAGUUUAUCCUUUUUGGCCUCUUGAGAAGCUGGGACGAUAGGCACAUGUCACUGUGCUAUCUGUUCCUGUAUACAUAUAAAUAAUAAAUAUUGUAUUGUACUAUUGUCCCUGUACUUUACUGAAUCCUAAGAUGGUCAUGCCAUGGUGUUUCAGUCUGGUCAGCAUGCAUUAGAUUGAAUUAAUUUUUUUUUUUUUUUUUAGCCAUUUGAUGUACUUUUGUGUUUCAUUUAAGUUCCCCCUGCUAAAAUUUAAUAUUAGUAUCUCCUUUUUUGCUUAUUAUUUCUCUUUCACUAAUAAUUUCAGAUCUAAGAUCUUACAGUGAAGUCAUAUAUUGAAUCAUAGUCUGUACCUUGGUUAAUUUUUUUCUCUUUUUCCUUUUCUGUUACCCUUCAAAAUAUCCUAAGCUGUGGUGUUUUGAUGGCAUGAUUCCCUUUGCAUGAUAUAUUGCUUUAAAUAAGGUCUGAUGAGAUGACCUAGCAGGUAGAGGUGCCUGUGGGACAAGUGUGGCACUGAGUUCAAUUCCUGGAGCCCAUGUAACGGUGGAAGGAGAGAACUAACCUCACAGCACUGUUAGGUAGUGAAGUACAGUGAGCAUACCAAUCUACCCUAUCCAUCUUCUGUUCAUUAGUGUUUUGAAACAAGGUUGCUAUUUAGUCUUGAACUCAGUUCUGCUUCCUAUGUCUUCCAAGCACUUGGAUAAAGACAAGCACCACCAUGCCUGCUACAUGCACUGAUCUUGUCUACAUCAUCUGUUUAGCCACAUAACAACAAGUCAGUUUCCUAUUAGAACUUUCCCCGUGCUCUACAGUGUUUGCUUACUCUCCCACCCUGUCAGUGUUUACCUCCCAGACAUGACCAAUUUGGCAAAUGGGCGCUUUAAGUCUGAUAGAACUUUUAUAUUUAUUAUAUAUUUAAGAAUAAGCUCAUUCCUUUGUCUACUAACUUUAAAAAUAUUUUUCCUUUAUAAAAAAAAUUAGGAGAUUCUUCCGGGAAGAUGUGAGGAGACAGACGAAUGGUACCUGAGAAUAGAUAACCAGCCAUGUGGCACAAUGUAGAUUGGAAUAAAUGGGUUAUUUUAAGUUAUGAUCUAGUCAGAGAAGAGCCUUGCUAUAUGGCCAAGGUAUUUG